rfam:Schistosoma mansoni strain Puerto Rico chromosome W, complete genome
AUCCAGCUGACGAGUCCCAAAUAGGACGAAACCCGCGUCAAACUGGAU